rnacentral:sRNA from 1 species
UGUUAAUUGUUAAUAAUUUUUAAUAUUAACUAAGAUAUAGAUUUGAUCUCAUAUAUAUAUUAUUUUGACAUGAAAUCAUUAUCAAGUAAGAUGAAGUGUGUAGAAUUAAAAUCGAGUUUUUUAUGAAAUAGAUAGUUAAAUUGUAUACAAAAUUGAAUAUGUAAGAUAAAAAUUUGUUUUUUUCUUCUAAAUACUAAAUUAUAAUAAAGAAAAAGUGUGUAGGUUACUAUUUAGACUUCAAAUAUCAUCAAUAAGAUUGAAUGGGUAUAAUAAAAUAAAAUGCAUAAGACUACUAUUUUACUAUUCAAAAUUAUAUAUCAAGAACAAUGUAUAGAUUAUUAUUUUACUAUUCAAAAUUUAAAUAUUAUCGAUAAAAAAUUACAGUUACAUCUUACACCCGCCUAUUUAGACGGGCCUUAUCUAGUAUUAUAUAAGAGCUAGAUAUAUAGCAUAUAAUGAUA